rnacentral:rRNA from 1 species
AUUGAACGCUGGCGGCAUGCCUAACACAUGCAAGUCGAACGGCAGCACGGCAGUAGCAAUACUGUGGGUGGCGAGUGGCGGACGGGUGAGGAAUACGUCGGAAUCUGCCCAGUCGUGGGGGAUAACUAGCCGAAAGGUUAGCUAAUACCGCAUACGACCGAGAGGUGAAAGCGGGGGGACCGCAAGGCCUCGCGCGAUUGGAUGAGCCGACGUCGGAUUAGCUAGUUGGUGGGUAAAGGCCACCAAGGCGACGAUCCGUAGCUGGUCUGAGAGGAUGAUCAGCCACACUGGAACUGAGACACGGUCCAGACUCCUACGGGAGGCAGCAGUGGGGAAUAUUGGACAAUGGGCGCAAGCCUGAUCCAGCAAUGCCGCGUGUGUGAAGAAGGCCUCGGUUGUAAGCACUUUAUCUAGACGAAAGACGUUGGAGUUAA